AGCGAACGCUGGCGGCAGGCCUAACACAUGCAAGUCGAACGGAUCCUUCGGGAUUAGUGGCGGACGGGUGAGUAACACGUGGGAACGUGCCCUUUGGUUCGGAACAACUCAGGGAAACUUGAGCUAAUACCGGAUGUGCCCUUCGGGGAAGAUUAUCGCCAUUGGAGCGGCCCGCGUCUGAUUAGCUAGUUGGUGGGGUAAAGGCCCACCAAGGCGACGAUCAGUAGCUGGUCUGAGAGGAUGAUCAGCCACAUUGGGACUGAGA
rnacentral:rRNA from 1 species